rnacentral:snRNA from 1 species
AGCUUUGCGUAGUGGCAGUAUCGUAGCCAAUGAGGUUUAUUUGAGGUGCGAUUAUUGCUAAUUGAAAACUUUUCCCAAUACCUUGCCAUGACAACUUGAAAUAUAGUCGGCAUUGGCAUUUUGUUACAGUUUCUACAGAGA